GCCGCCGUAGCUCACUGGUAGAGCAUCGGACGCCUUAUCCGAAGGCCGUAGGUUUGGUCCCUGCCGGCGGCA